GGAGCGUGGACAAGCUGAGGACUCCCUGGACCUGAUGCCAACCCAUCACAGGACACAUUUACACACUACAGUCAGAUACAUGUCUUUGGACUGAGGGAGGAAACUGGAGCACGUAUGCAGGAAGCAGGAACCAAACCCUUAACCCACAGAGGAUCCCUGGCUGCAUUUUGCAUGAAAUUCAGGAACAGGGCUCCAAAGGAACAAGGAGUCCAGUGAUUCUG